AAUUGGUCCAACUUCACUGGAUAACAAGCGUCGAGCUAAAACAGCCUGCUCAACUAUCUCAGAAGUGGAUAAGUUUCUCUUCAGACCCAUUCUGCCGGUAUAGCAAAACUGGCAAUUCAUGGCACAACCUACUUGACUAGAUAUACAGACAGUGUUCCUGCCCCGCUCACAAGGUAUCAGAACAGUUUCUAUUACCAGACCAUCUUCCAACUUGAAUAACAUCUGUAAGAUCCUUUUUAGUUCCAUCAGACGCUGUCAGAAUAUCUUUCAAGUUUAACGUCUUAAAUUCAGCA
rnacentral:misc_RNA from 1 species